UCACUUAUUAUAGAAAUCCAUAUAAUCAUGAAUUAAUCAGGGAAAGGCUUGUUGGGAUUUGGGGGUUACAUUGCAAAUGUUAAAGCUCACACUGCAGUAUGGGAGAGUGGGGGGGCAGCCAGCAGAUGUUCUCAAUGAAGUUAUAUGACAUCAUUUAGGCCCACCCUUUCAUUUUACACACAAAGAACUAGGCCCAGAGAGCUCAUGGGAUGAUAGGAUCACAGCUUGCGAGCUCUAAGGAACUCAAAAGCCACUAAGUCCAACCCUUCACUUUACAGAUGGGGAAACUGAGGCCAGAGAGGCAAAAAAUCUUGUCCAAAGUUGCCCAGGGGAGACACAGCACACCAGCCACAUCCUGUCGGACAAAGUCCACCUCGACAAAGGGGAAGGUCACAGCAAGAAGGAUGACCAUCAAGUGGGAGUGACUAAGCAAUCAGCCAUGGACCAGGCUCCAAGUUACAGCCUCAACAGAUAAGAAGUAGAGGGACUGAAUGCAGGACAUACCAAAUACUGUCAGAGAAAGUAGAAGGUUCUUCCCGAGAUUGUCCCAUAUCCUCAGGCACAAGUUUCUGCGUUUGGGUUCUUCUGAGCUCAGGUGACUCUCGUGCAUCCGGACUUCCAC